rnacentral:rRNA from 1 species
GGCCAAGCUACUAAGGGCACAUGGGGGAUGUCUUGGUGUUAGAAGGCUUUGAAGGGCGUGGAAGACUGCGAUAAGCCCGGGGGAGUUGUCAAACGAGCGUUGAUCCCGGGAUACCUGAACUGGCGUAAGCUGAAUUCAUAGGCUUGCGUGGCGAACGCGGUGAACUGAAACAUCUCAGUAACCGCAGGAAAAGAAAGAAAAAUCGAUUUCCUCAGUAGCGGCGAGCGAACGGGAAAUAGCCCAAACCGCGG